GUGAAUCAUCAAAUUUUUGAACGCAAAUUGCACUCUCUGCGAAUACUAUGCGUGUUUGAGGGUCAGCCUAAUAAAAAUGGACAUAGUAGCUGUUUCGCGGUGACAUUGGUAGGAAAUUGGGUCAUCUUAUACCUUUGGGUUGUAAGCGGCGUAAAAUUUUCUUUACGAUUCCACGAAAGUUUUUAAGAUUUACUUCUUAUACGUUUAAGGUAUCGAUCUUUAUUAGACGUGUCCGUUUCAUCGGAUUUC
rnacentral:misc_RNA from 1 species